AUUAAAGGCAAAGCACCGCCGACUUCUGGUGGUGGUGGGUGUGUCUUUGAAGCUAUACCAGUAUUACUACUGUUGUUGCUUCUGCGUAGCCAAUAAAGAAUGAAGAGAAACAACAACGUGGCGCAUAUGGUAAAUGGCAGGGUUGAUGGCGAGAGCAAAUUAUUCAUCAUAUUUUGGAUGGUGUUCUGUUCUGUUGUGGUUUGGUUGGUUGGUUUUACUCUGUUUUGUGUCAACCUGUAGGCUUGAUAUAUUAUCUGGUGUAGCUAUUUAGAUUCUGACAUGGCUUGUAUUUGGACAAAAAUUUGAUGCAGUUAAUGCGACAAUCCAGAUCCCUUGUAUUUUUCCCAAUUAGUUAGCAGUUUCUCGAUUUGUUUUGUACUUUUGCUAGUGUAGUUAGGUAGGGAUUAGUGUUGGUUGGAAUUAAUAAAAUACUGUAGUAGUUUUGUUGUGG
rnacentral:lncRNA from 1 species